rnacentral:rRNA from 1 species
CCUACGGGAGGCAGCAGUGAGGAAUAUUGGUCAAUGGACGAGAGUCUGAACCAGCCAAGUAGCGUGAAGGAUGACUGCCCUAUGGGUUGUAAACUUCUUUUAUAUGGGAAUAAAAUGUUCCACGUGUGGGAUUUUGUAUGUACCAUAUGAAUAAGGAUCGGCUAACUCCGUACCAGCAGCCGCGGUAAUACGGAGGAUCCGAGCGUUAUCCGGAUUUAUUGGGUUUAAAGGGAGCGUAGGUGGAUUGUUAAGUCAGUUGUGAAAGUUUGCGGCUCAACCGUAAAAUUGCAGUUGAAACUGGCAGUCUUGAGUACAGUAGAGGUGGGCGGAAUUCGUGGUGUAGCGGUGAAAUGCUUAGAUAUCACGAAGAACUCCGAUUGCGAAGGCAGUUCACUGGACUGCAACUGACACUGAGGCUCGAAAGUGUGGGUAUCAAACAGGAUUAGAUACCCGUGUAGUC